rnacentral:rRNA from 1 species
GUGGGGAAUCUUGCGCAAUGGGCGAAAGCCUGACGCAGCCAUGCCGCGUGAAUGAUGAAGGUCUUAGGAUUGUAAAAUUCUUUCACCGGGGACGAUAAUGACGGUACCCGGAGAAGAAGCUCCGGCUAACUUCGUGCCAGCAGCCGAGGUAAUACGAAGGGGGCUAGCGUUGCUCGGAAUUACUGGGCGUAAAGGGCGCGUAGGCGGACAGCUUAGUCAGAGGUGAAAGCCCAGGGCUCAACCUUGGAAUUGCCUUUGAUACUGGCUGUCUUGAGUUUGGGAGAGGUGAGUGGAACUCCGAGUGUAGAGGUGAAAUUCGUAGAUAUUCGGAAGAACACCAGUGGCGAAGGCGACUCACUGGCCCAAUACUGACGCUGAGGCGCGAAAGCGUGGGGAGCAAACAGGAUUAGAUACCCGUGUAGUCC